ACGUAGGGGGCGAGCGUUGUCCGGAUUUACUGGGCGUAAAGGGCGCGUAGGCGGCCACCGCAAGUCGAUUGUGAAAUCUCCGGGCUUAACCCGGAAAGGUCAGCCGAUACUGCGGAGCUAGAGUACAGAAGGGGCAACCGGAAUUCCCAGUGUAGCGGUGAAAUGCGUAGAUAUUGGGAAGAACGCCUGAGGCGAAGGCGGGUUGCUGGGCUGAUACUGACGCUGAGGCGCGAAAGCCAGGGGAGCAAACGGGA
rnacentral:rRNA from 1 species